rnacentral:tRNA from 1 species
GUCUUCGUGGUGUAAUUAAAAAGCACGUCCGACUAGCAGUCGGAAGAUCCGGAGUUCGAAUCCCGACGAAGGCA